rnacentral:lncRNA from 1 species
AUCAGCUUGGUGCAAACUUUGUACAAGGUCGUGCACAAGCUAAUGGGUCUGAAGUGAUCUGAAUCUGACGCAUCUUAUCUAUUCAUCAGAAAAACAAGGAAGGUCUGCUUUCAGGCAGCUGGCAUCAAACCUGUAGCAAAGAACUCCUGCACUAUAGUCACCGCCUCAGUCUGGAUGACAAGUCAAUACCGUCUGAAAAAAAAAUGGAGGAAAGCCAUCAGGUAUCGGGACUUUGUCCUGCAUCAUGGAUCACACCACCCCACGC